rnacentral:rRNA from 1 species
CCUACGGGGAGCAGCAGUGAGGAAUAUUGGUCAAUGGACGAGAGUCUGAACCAGCCAAGUAGCGUGAAGGAUGACUGCCCUAUGGGUUGUAAACUUCUUUUAUAUGGGAAUAAAACGUUCCACGUGUGGGAUUUUGUAUGUACCAUAUGAAUAAGGAUCGGCUAACUCCGUGCCAGCAGCCGCGGUAAUACGGAGGAUCCGAGCGUUAUCCGGAUUUAUUGGGUUUAAAGGGAGCGUAGGUGGAUUGUUAAGUCAGUUGUGAAAGUUUGCGGCUCAACCGUAAAAUUGCAGUUGAAACUGGCAGUCUUGAGUACAGUAGAGGUGAGCGGAAUUCGUGGUGUAGCGGUGAAAUGCUUAGAUAUCACGAAGAACUCCGAUUGCGAAGGCAGUUCACUGGACUGCAACUGACACUGAGGCUCGAAAGUGUGGGUAUCAAACAGGAUUAGAUACCCUUGUAGUC